ACUAGUCAGAUAUAUAUUUUUCUGUUGUUUUAACAGUAUAUUUAAUGAAAAAGAAAAGCAAAACAUCUCCAAGUAAAUAAUUGAAGUACUGUGUGUGAAGCAAUAGUGUUGCUGAUCGUAUAUUACUGUGCCAAAUUCUGUUUAAAUACAUUGAGGAAGAAAAUGCUACUACUUAUGAAAUGCUACUACUUAUUUGCUACCUAUUACUACUGAGUUAUAAAUCUCUUUUUACCUACAGUCAAGAAGGAUCUCAAAAACCAAGAGAAUCUCACAGAGAAUUCUUUGAAAAACUUGAGUUAGUCUUGCUCUUUGAUAUACCAUGACUCAUCUUCAGGAUAUGCUCCUCAUGGUAGACCGUAAUCAUCCUAAUAUCCACUGGGAGGGAAGCAUCACAGAGCAGAAUCCACCAAGAUAGUUUCAUGGAGUGCAUUGAUAACAACUUCCUGGCAGAGGCAAUUGAAGAAGCAAAAAGGGGAGAUUCUUUGCUGGAAUUCCAGAUAAGGAAGGAAUAAGUCCAGCUCUUAAGUGAAUGGCCCUUCCAGGGAUAGAGCCCACAACCUUGGCAUUAUUAGCACCAUGGUCUAACCAACUUCUUCCCCUAUAUUCUGUACUCGUGAAACAUAAUGGAAGUCCUGGGUCUAGUUCUGUGCUCUGAAGUGUCUCACUGUGGGGUAUGCCCAGCCCCUGCCCUGGAGGGAUCUCUGCUGAGAUAAGAGAUUUCGCAA